AAAAAAGCAUUGAGCUUGAGGGACUAGACUAAUCAAAAAAUGGAAUAACAUGGCAACAAUUACCCUGAUGAGUGAGAGGGAAGCUGCAGAUGCAUUCAGACACCUAUGGCACUGCGGACUGCACGCAUUCAGCAUUUUGUGUUUAGUGUCUUGUGUUUUUGAGAGCAGGCCAACAGUUUCCAGCUAGAAAUCGCUCACCGGGAAGAUGAUUUUAUAUUGUUUUUCCUGGAUUAAUUUUCCUUUUGCACAGAAUUUGGCAGAUUAAUAACAUUAAUGGCAACUGAUGUUAUCGAGAAAAGAUCUUUGGACUUGACUUGUGAGAUGGAAGAGCUUGGUAUUUCUAGACCAAAGAGUGACAUGAUGAGAGCUGGAGCCUCCAGAAAUUCAAGGCAGCAGCAGUAUCUCCCUAAAGAAGAAGAAGAAGAAAAGAUAAAACUAUUGACAUUUAAAAUCUACAACUUCCUCUAAAAGCUGGUACUGGUUAUCACUGCACUUUAUCAAAUAGUAUCCCCAUUUAAAUUGAGAAUGAAGAGGUUCUUGGAUAAAGAACUUGUAAAAAUCAGAAUAAGUAAAAAGAAGAAAUAGAAGAAAAUAAAUUUAGGUCAGAGAAUGCAAUGUUAUAUUUCUAAAGCGUUCGUGAUCCUUGAUGGGUUUGUUCCACUUAGCAGAUGUUCUCUCUUCCUACACCAAAGGCAGAAACUUUCAUCAGUGACUACUCCCCAAAACUGUUUGUGCCUAGAAGAUGGACAUUUGGCAAGCCAUAAUGGACUGCUCCUUUCCCAGUUUCUUCAGGUCAAGGCAUGGCUUAGAUGGCCCCUCUACUUACAGUGUCACAAGACUGCAAUCAAGGUGUCAUCUGGACUGUGCUCCCAUCUGGAGG